UUCAAGUUGUUGCUCUGGAUUUCCAAUCACAGAAUAUUCUGAGUUGGAAGGGACCCACAAGGAUCAUCAAGUGCAGCUCUUAAGUGGAUGGCCCAUACAGGCGAUUGAACCUGUGACCUUGGCGUUAUUAGCACCAAGAUUUAACCACAUUGACAAAACGUACAAGAUUUUGGAGGGGAAAAAAGAACAGGAGAAAGUUUAUUAGCUGGAAGGUGCUUGUCUGGGUGUUACCUGGGUUUGGAGUAGCCAGCUGUCUCAAACACUAUCUGCAUUUUUAAAGGAAUAAGAAGUCUUGGCAGACACUGGAACAAUUAAUUGGCUUUUUCAGCCAAGUCAGUUCAGUGUGACACCACUGCUGCUGAGAGCUGCUAUGGGAUUCGCAGCACAGAAGUGGAAAACAAGAAUGUCUGGAUAAAGUAAAAAAAACCAGAAUAAUUAGUAUCCAUUUAAGAUCCAAAGUAUUGCUUGAGAUAGCUAGAUAAAAAUUGGGGAGUGAGGGAAGAAAGGAUAAGAAAAAAAGUAAUAAAAUGUCUUUGAAUGACUUC